GCCCCGGUAGUUCAAUUGGAAGAACGUGUGGCUUCGGACCACAAGGUUGGGGGUUCGACUCCCUCCCGGGGCA
rnacentral:tRNA from 1 species